UAUAGCAUUUAGGAUUUUGAAAAUCCUAUAAGAUUAUAAAAAAUAAUCCUAUGU
rnacentral:tRNA from 1 species